rnacentral:rRNA from 1 species
ACGCGAAAGGCCCCUUCGGGGGCCGAGUAGAGUGGCGCACGGGUGAGUAACACGUGGGUAAUUUACCUCUGGGUGGGGAAUAGCGGCUGGAAACGGCCAUUAAUACCGCAUAAUGCAGCGGCUCGACAUCGAGACAGUUGUUAAAGCGGGGGAUCCUUCGGGACCUCGCGCCUGGAGAAAAGCCCACGGCGGAUUAGCUAGUUGGUAGGGUAAUGGCCUACCAAGGCGACGAUCCGUAACCGGCCUGAGAGGGCGGUCGGUCACACUGACACUGAAUAACGGGUCAGACUCCUACGGGAGGCAGCAGUCGGGAAUUUUGGGCAAUGGGCGCAAGCCUGACCCAGCAACGCCGCGUGAAGGAUGAAAUCCCUCGGGAUGUAAACUUCGCAAGAACAGGAAGAAUAAGUAGAAGAUAACACCUUCUAUGAUGACGGUACUGUUUGCAAGCUCCGGCUAACUCCGUGCCAGCAGCCGCGGUAAUACGGGGGGAGCAAGCGUUG